GGAAGUAAUAGCUAUCUGGAAACGCAUUUAUUGGAAAAGGGGAAAGCUUUCCCUGCCUGCAGAAAAAGUGAUUGGGGGAUUAAAAACGUGGGUGUUUGGGGUUUUGCUGUUGUUGUUUUGCUUUUUGGUUUUAUUUUCCCCUACGGUCUGCAAGUAAAGAAGCUCUCUCUUCCCGCGGCGUGGAUGGUGAAAGUCUCUAACCAAAUAUCUCAAUAACGUGGAUGGUGUAAUUGUCAUGUUGUUAAGCAUUUCCUUAUUGACGGGCACCACACUUAGCCUCUGAUCUCCGAAAUGGAUGUCAAAGCGGUUUCUGACAUCUUUAGAGAGCCUGUCCUGCAGGGUUUUCUGUUACCGCCAGGAGUAUCCUCAUGUACGAUGCCCUCCGUGGCCAGGGGCCAGCGACUGAACGAAGUCAAAUGAAUGAAAUAAGUGCAAACUAGUCUUCUUUGCACAGAGAGGUUGAAAUGCGUGUCAGGCGAGCGUCUAGAAAAGACGAAAAUCCGAGUUUUGCAGCUCCAGAUCAUUACAUGCUCAGCAAGGGAGCACGAUCAUUACGCACAAAAGAAAGGGGCAAAAUCCUGCUCGUAUAGUGAUUAUUGUUAUGACAAGGAGCAAUAACUGCUUUGGUAUAAAAAUAGUGUUUGUUACGGAGAAACUGAGUGAGCAACCAUCCAGAUAAACAUUCCCUGCGUGUAACAAGCCUGCUGUCUUCGUGAUGUUUCGUGUGCUGCUAACCCCCCUGCCCUUUUCAAUCGUUAUUGCCUUCUUUUUUUUUCUUGUAAUUAUGCACAUUGUUUCCCACUUACCCUAAUUUCAGCACUAAGGCUCCGAAAUUGCACAGAGAAAUAAAAUAAAGGCUAUUUUUUCCUGUA